GCCCGUUGGUCAAGCGGUUAAGACACCGCCCUUUCACGGCGGUAACACCGGGUUCGAAUCCCGUACGGGUCACCAU
rnacentral:tRNA from 1 species